rnacentral:rRNA from 1 species
GAUGAACGCUAGCGGCAGGCCUAAUACAUGCAAGUCGAACGGUGUCUUCGGACAUAGUGGCGCACGGGUGCGUAACACGUAUGCAACCUACCUUACAUUGGGGGACAGCCUUUCGAAAGGGAGAUUAAUACCGCAUAAGACAGUAGCUGGGCAUCCAGCAGCUGUUAAAGAUUUAUCGAUGUAAGCUGGGCAUGCGUCCAAUUAGCCAGUUGGUGAGGUAACGGCUCACCAAGGCAAUGAUUGGUAGGGGAACUGAGAGGUCAAUCCCCCACACUGGCACUGAGAUACGGGCCAGACUCCUACGGGAGGCAGCAGUAGGGAAUAUUGGGCAAUGGACGCAAGUCUGACCCAGCCAUGCCGCGUGCAGGAUGAAGGCGUUAUGCGUUGUAAACUGCUUUUAUACAGGAAGAAACGACUCUUGCGAGAGGCAUUGACGGUACUGUAUGAAUAAGCACCGGCUAACUCCGUGCCAGCCGCCGCUGUAACAC